UUUUGAACCUGGUUUUGCUCCUCUUUUAAGCCACAACACAGGCAAAGAAGAGAAACAGAAAGAAAUCCCUGCCAUUCCUCCCUCCCAGUUCAGGUCUCUGGGAAUGAAUAAGCUUUCUUUUUCAUCAGCAGAAGCAGGAGGAAUGUCAGGAAGCUUCAUCUUGCUAAUAGGACUGUAAAGCGCCUUGCAGUCCUUCCUUUGUUGUUGAUAAAAUAUUCAGGAGCCUGGAAGAGAGUGCAACAUCCAGAGCUAUUCAGAAGCCUGUUACAUACGUUUUCCACACUGCAAAACUUUUUUUUUUUUUUUCAUUAAGUCACCGCCAGUCCUCCUACAAGAAGGGGAAGGAAAAUGAAGAAAACAUUGUGUGUUCUUUCCCUCCUCUAUUACCCCAUAAAGACUUAAUUUGUCCAUCUA